GGAGUGGGCUGGACGAUCGCCGGUCGGAUUUGCGGAUCGUCACAUCGAUCCUUUACUAAUCCGACGGGAGGAAAGUCCGGGCUCCAGAGAACACGGUGAUGGGUAACACCCACCGGCCGCGAGGCCCGGGAAAGUGCAACAGAAAGCAAACCGCCCAGUCAAGAUUUAUCUUGCCCGGGUAAGGGUGAAACGGUGAGGUAAGAGCUCACCAGCGGAUUGGGCGACCAGUCCGGCUAGGUAAACCCCACCGGGAGAAAGGUUAAACAGGAAGCAGCGCUUCGGCCGGGCUUUUGCCAGGUAAAGCGCGCGGGAUUGUUCGUUCCGUUAACGACUUCCGGGUAAACCGCUUGAGGGGUCGGGCAACCGGCCUCCUAGAUAAAUGAUCGUCACCCCGUCGGCAUCCGCCGUGCGGGGAACAGAAUCCGGCUUACAGGCCCUCUCCAUCC
rnacentral:RNase_P_RNA from 1 species